GAUGAACGCUGGCGGCGUGCUUAACACAUGCAAGUCGAACGGAAAGGCUCCUGCUUGCAGGGGUACUCGAGUGGCGAACGGGUGAGUAACACGUGGGUGAUCUGCCCUGCACUUCGGGAUAAGCCUGGGAAACUGGGUCUAAUACCGGAUAGGACCACAUUUUGGACGGUGUGGUGGAAAGUUUUUCGGUGUGGGAUGAGCUCGCGGCCUAUCAGCUUGUUGGUGGGGUAAUGGCCUACCAAGGCGUCGACGGGUAGCCGGCCUGAGAGGGUGUACGGCCACAUUGGGACUGAGAUACGGCCCAGACUCCUACGGGAGGCAGCAGUGGGGAAUAUUGCACAAUGGGCGCAAGCCUGAUGCAGCGACGCCGCGUGGGGGAUGACGGCCUUCGGGUUGUAAACUCCUUUCGCUAGGGACGAAGCGCAAGUGACGGUACCUGGAGAAGAAGCACCGGCUAACUACGUG
rnacentral:rRNA from 1 species